rnacentral:rRNA from 1 species
UACGUAGGGACCAAGCGUUGUUCGGAUUUACUGGGCGUAAAGGGCGCGUAGGCGGCUUAACAAGUCACUUGUGAAAUCUCCGGGCUUAACUCGGAACGGCCAAGUGAAACUGGCAAGCUAGAGUGCAGAAGGGGCAAUCGGAAUUCUUGGUGUAGCGGUGAAAUGCGUAGAUAUCAAGAGGAACACCUGAGGUGAAGACGGGUUGCUGGGCUGACACUGACGCUGAGGCGCGAAAGCCAGGGGAGCAAACGGG